rnacentral:lncRNA from 1 species
GUCGAAGAGGUCGAGCGCCGAUCGGUUGGAUGGGAGCGAGUAGCCGGUGCCGUAGCCGCCGAUGGAGAGGGAGACGGGGACGCCCUUGAACUGGCAGUGCUUGAUGUCGGCGCCGACGGAGGACAGGUCGUGGCCGGAGAGGUCGAGGUGGUACUUGCCGUUGGCGCCAAAGACGUCGAGGAAGGACAUGGUGACCAUGGUGUACAUGCCGGAGUCGCAGGCCUCACGCAGGGACCCCUCGGCCUUAUUCCGUCCCCAGAACACCGUCACCUGGCCGGUCUUCCCCCCCGCCGCCAAGGCCGGCGGGGUUAGGAAUAAGGCAGCGACG